rnacentral:rRNA from 1 species
AUGAGUAGCAUCAAUUUAAGUCUGUUGAACUGGAAUGUUCGUGGACUUAACUGUCCAAACCGGAGAACUACUAUCAACGAAACAAUUGCUGCUUCUGCGUGCCAUACCGUGUGUAUUCAAGAAACCAAGCUCCAAGUUGUCGACGCCACAACUGCUGCUUUCCUGGGAGGGUACAGACUGUAGUGUUUUGCCCAACGACCGGCCAUUGGUACACGCGGUGGAAUCCUUAUGCUAUGGCAUGAUGACCAUGUCCGAAUGGAAGAUGUGCACUUCGGCACCUACACCCUCUCGGCCAAGGUCAUCUUGGUUGGCUCCAACGUCGCGUUCAAAAUCACCACGGUUUACGGCCCAACUAGACAUGACCAAAAGGAUGAUUUUUUCCAGGAGCUCCAAAAUGAAAAACCUCCCCAUGGUGAUAAAUGGCUUGUCACCGGUGAUUUCAAUCAGAUAUACCGUGCUAGGGACAAGAACCGCGCUAAUGCUAACCGUAGCCGCAUCGUCCGUUCCCGAAAUGCCCUAAACUUUUGCGAGCUCAAGGAGGUCCAUCUCCAGAAUAGAAAGUAUACUUGGAGCAACGAGCAAAGCAAUCCUACCAUGUCAAAGCUGGAUGCCUUUUUCUGCAAUGAGGAGUGGGACAUUACCUUCGACAAGCACAUCCUCCAUGUGCUGUCCUCUUCACUCUCGGAUCAUUGCCCUCUCCUUUUGGCAAAUAAUGAUGGUCCUAGGCGGCCUAAGACAUUCCGUUUCGAAAACUUAUGGACCAACAUGCCCGGCUUCCGUCAACUUGUUCAAGACGUGUGGAGCGAGCCCUCCACACACACACACACCGAGCCCUACCAACGACUCUUCCAUAAGUUGAAAGCUACUAGCCGGAGGCUGAAAGCAUGGAGUAAAUCGCCCUUCUCCAAUGCCAAAAUUCAACUUCAUAUGGCUCUAGAAAUCAUUCUU